rnacentral:lncRNA from 1 species
AUGCCAUUGGAAUCUACAGAUGGUGGAGGGCACAGGUCCUAAUUUCAACGUAUUUCCAUAUGUUCUUUAAAAUCACCUGAAACUGCCCUGCGCAGGCUCACACCACGGCUCUGUACCAAGGGCUUGGACCCGCCUGCAGCCAGACGGCAUCUCACUAGAUGUCAUCAUCAUCAAAGAGAUCUUCAAAACCAUUUAAAAAGUCUACAUGAACAGCCUUUUCAUUAGUUGCCAAGUCCAUCAAGAACCUGGUGCUGCCUCCCGCCUCGUCCAGGUCCAUGUAGGGCCCGGCGCCCUUGGAAACAUCUCGUCCACGGCCAGCUUCAUCUUGGGCUGCGGCGCUCUAGGCCCACUUCCGGCCACGGGGCCGCUUCGUAUUUUUCUAUUUUUUAA